rnacentral:tRNA from 1 species
GUUCUUAUAGUUGAAUAACAACGGUGGUUUUUCAGAUCACAGGUCUUGGUUUUUGCAAGUGAGAAUA